UGGCUAUAAUGAAAUAAAAACAAGCAUUAAGUAUAGUAUGUAGUUGGAUACUGGCAUUUUCAUAUACAUGGGCUGAAAAAUAGACAAGUCAGAGACACAUAAUGAAAUGAGUGUGUGUGUGUGUGUGUGUGUGUGUGUGUGUGUGUACAACUGGGAUAUCCCUCCUCCCGUAGUACAAUAGCACAAGGUGCCUGAGCCCUAAGGCUAG